GUCCUAACACAUGCAGUCGAACGCGAAAGUCCCGCAAGGGAUCAGUAGACGUGGCAAACGGGUGUAGUAACAUCGUGGGUGACCUGCCUUCGACGCGGGGGAUAACGUACCCGAAAGGGACGCUAAUACCGCAUGACAUCCUCGCUCUUGAACGGGCGGAGAUCAAAGCUGGGGAUCGCAAGACCUAGCACUCGAAGAGGGGCCCAGCGCCUGAUUAGCUAGUUCGGUGGGGUAAUGGCUUACCAAGGCAUCGAGUCCAGUAGCCAGGCCUGAGAGGGCGGUCGGCCACACUGACACUGACAUACGGGUCAGACUCCUACGGGAGGCAGCAGUCGGGAAUCUUGGGCAAUGGGCGCAAGCCUGACCCAGCAACGCCGCGUGAAGGAUGAAAUCCCUCGGGAUGUAAACUUCGCAAGAACAGGAAGAAUA
rnacentral:rRNA from 1 species